UACGAAGGGGGCUAGCGUUGUUCGGAAUUACUGGGCGUAAAGAGCUCGUAGGCGGCUUGUCGCGUCGAGUGUGAAAUCCUGCGGCUCAACUGCAGGCUUGCAUUCGAUACGGGCAGGCUGGAGUUCGGUAGGGGAGACUGGAAUUCCUGGUGUAGCGGUGAAAUGCGCAGAUAUCAGGAGGAACACCGGUGGCGAAGGCGGGUCUCUGGACCGUAACUGACGCUGAGACACGAAAGCGUGGGUAGCAAACAGG
rnacentral:rRNA from 1 species